rnacentral:tRNA from 1 species
CGAUAGCUCAGUUGGUAGAGCGGUGGACUGUAGUUGCGAGAACUUGACAAGAUAAUUCUUACAAUUUCUGCUAUGACAUCCAUCGGUCACUGGUUCGAUUCCGGUUC